AUGGAGAGAGAGGGAGGAAGACAAAGAGAAUCAGAGAGGGGCACAGAGAGAGGUUUGCCAUCUGCCAAGAAGCCCGAAGAUGAGACCUGGGAUUCUGACCGUCUCUCUGUGGGUAGGACAUGCGAGAUGAGACAAGUGACAAAUGCUGGGAAGCAGCGCCGUGGAUCAAGAGGCAUGUCUGCUCACACUGGCCCUUGAGGGAGCCCCGAUCAGCAUGCAGGACAGGAUGCCUGGCCUGCCUCCAAGCAGGUGUGUAGGAGUGUCUGUCUGUGCAUGUGCUCAGGGACAGGCUCUUUGAAAGUUUCCCUCUUCAUCCCUCAAGGACUCCUCUGUGCUCUUCCUGAUCAAGUCCAUCUCUGGCUCUGAAAAUGGGCAUCAUUUCACCCAGGCCCACACCAGCCACGGUGCGGCCAUAGAGCCCGGCAGCCCCUCUAGGGUGUGGUGGUGGUCAGACACAACCACGUAUGCAGAAAUUUAGCACAUCCUACACUUCUCUGUCUAGAUCUAACAUGCUCAGGCUCGGGGCUGGAACAUGAUUCAGCAGGAGCUUCUCUUAUCUUGUUGUGGGAACUGAGCCCCAAGGGACACCCUAGACUCCUCUGGCGAUGGGAUUGUCCAUUUCUGGGCCUCCGUUUCCUCUGGAAGCCAUUUAGCAUGGGGCAGGAGGAUACUGGCUAUGAGCGUCACUCUGGAUAUUCUUGGAUAUUCUUGCUCCCCCUGGUCAUGUUUGGGGAGAAAAUGGAGAGUGGAAAAGUGCACAGGAUCUGUGGAUAUUAAGCACCUACCAUGUGCUGGGCUGACCUUUUUAUUCCUUUAACCAGCCCAGAGAGACUGUCAUUACCACCUUUCAUAGAGGGAAACACUGAGGCUGGGUAAUUUUCCUAGGUCCCUCUGCUUUUAGUUCUUUCCUUUGUAGAUAAGCAUGGAGGCUAGUGGCAGGGCCCUGGGAGGGUCAGAAUGUUCCACAGCCUCUGUGGAUGGCAGGUGGUAGUGUUCUGAGCAGCUGUGUGCCUUCAGAUGAGGCUCUGCCCCUCUCUGGGCCUCCGACUCCCUCUGGUGCUGAGAAUCAAAUGAGCUCGGGCAACAUCUCCU
rnacentral:lncRNA from 1 species